GGGGCAGUACCGGUUUCGACGGGGAUCCUGAACCCGGAUAAGCCAUUCAUGCACCGAACCCAUGUAAAAAGUCGGAAACUAAAUAUAAACGCUAACGAAAAUUUAGCUUACGCUGCCUAAGGGCGGCGGAUCCCUUCCUCUGCUCCCGUACGGAGGGUAAGGGGUCUCGACGAUGCGGGGAACUAUCUGCGCUAAGCUUUGCCCGCGGAUAAGAUCCAUGAAGCUACCAAAACGGGGCCGCCUGCUUACCGGCGUGCCUCUGAGGGAACAAAAAUAGAUAAGCUAUAAUGGUAGAAAUUCCGGCAGGGGGGUUUUCGGACACGGGUUCGACUCCCGUCUGCUCCAU
rnacentral:tmRNA from 1 species